rnacentral:rRNA from 1 species
AUUGAACGCUGGCGGAAUGCUUUACACAUGCAGGUCGAGCGGCAGCGCGGGGGCAACCCUGGUGGCGAGCGGCGAACGGGUGAGUAAUACAUCGGAACGUGUCCUUAAGUGGGGGAUAGCUCGGCGAAAGCCGGAUUAAUACCGCAUAAGCUCUGAGGAGGAAAGCGGGGGAUUCGCAAGGACCUCGCGCUGUUGGAGCGGCCGAUGUCGGAUUAGCUAGUUGGUGGGGUAAAGGCCCACCAAGGCGACGAUCCGUAGCUGGUCUGAGAGGAUGAUCAGCCACACUGGAACUGAGACACGGUCCAGACUCCUACGGGAGGCAGCAGUGGGGAAUUUUGGACAAUGGGGGCAACCCUGAUCCAGCCAUUCCGCGUGAGUGAAGAAGGCCU